GCGGGAGCCGGGGCCAGGGGUGGGGUUGGUUUAGCUGGUUUGCUGUUGGUUUAGGGUUUUAUUUCUAAUUUGAUUUUGGGUUUUUAUAACUGAUUUUAGCCCCUUCUCUUUUGCUCAGUUUGCUGAUUUCUAGCAGUAACUCUAUAUUACUUGGGAUAACAUGUUCCCUUACACUGGUUAGCCAAGUAGUUAGGGUGCUUUGAUGGAAGAGGCAAGUAAUUAUUUUCAUAGAUCAUGUGUGUAGGUCUAUCCUCCUCCUGGUGGUUAGUCUAGAAGUGUUACAUUGAAUACCUACAGUUUCCCCCUUUUCCGGGCACCCAGAAAGCACAUUGAUCAUGUGAUCCAAGACUUUGGGUGGCUAAAACAACAGAAGGGUUGGUCUUUAGAGCAUCCUCCUCAGUUGUGGAUCUGAGGAACUUAGUAAUGGAGACAAAAUCCCAGCCAACAGGUUUGAUCCCAUUUUAGAGUCAGACUGUGUUGUACUCUGAUGAGUCCAUUUGGGCCAAAAAAUAUUUCCUUACAUGAUUAAGCACUAAGCUUAUUUUCUCUUUGCAAUUCAUUUUUGCAUUUAUUUUUUUGUCAGUAAACAUUAUUCUUUCUUCAUGUUUUUAUCUGUUAUCUAUAAAAAUUAUUUUAUUUAUCAAAAUAAAAAUAAAUAAAGGUCUCAUUAUUCUGAGAUCUGGUUUCCUGUUCCAAACCUUAUAUCAAGAGCUUUCAGAUUGGGACAGAUGCCUGGGACCCUUUCCAAGCCAACAUUGCUGACAGCAGACCCCGAAAUAUCCAAUAGCUCCCAUGAGGUGUCUGCUAGGGCAAUGAUGCUGUAAUCAUCUAGUAACUUCCUUCUCCUUGAGAUGCUCAAUAUUGCCAUCUGCAGUUCAUGAGACAUCAAACAAGAUGAGGUUGUGAUUUUUAAGCCACAAAUAAAUUUACAAGACCAGAAGCACAUUCCAGAUGUUUACUUGUUUACA
rnacentral:lncRNA from 1 species